UCGAGCGCACCUUCGGGUGAGCGGCGGACGGGUUAGUAACGCGUGGGAACAUACCCUUUUCUACGGAAUAGCCUCGGGAAACUGAGAGUAAUACCGUAUAAGCCCUUCGGGGGAAAGAUUUAUCGGGAAAGGAUUGGCCCGCGUUAGAUUAGAUAGUUGGUGGGGUAAUGGCCUACCAAGUCUACGAUCUAUAGCUGGUUUUAGAGGAUGAUCAGCAACACUGGGACUGAGACACGGCCCAGACUCCUACGGGAGGCAGCAGUGGGGAAUCUUAGACAAUGGGCGCAAGCCUGAUCUAGCCAUGCCGCGUGUGUGAUGAAGGUCUUAGGAUCGUAAAGCACUUUCGCCAGGGAUGAUAAUGACAGUACCUGGUAAAGAAACCCCGGCUAACUCCGUGCCAGCAGCCGCGGUAAUACGGAGGGGGUUAGCGUUGUUCGGAAUUACUGGGCGUAAAGCGUACGUAGGCGGAUUGGAAAGUUGGGGGUGAAAUCCCAGGGCUCAACCCUGGAACUGCCUCCAAAACUAUCAGUCUAGAGUUCGAGAGAGGUGAGUGGAAUUCCAAGUGUAGAGGUGAAAUUCGUAGAUAUUUGGAGGAACACCAGUGGCGAAGGCGGCUCACUGGCUCGAUACUGACGCUGAGGUACGAAAGUGUGGGGAGCAAACAGGAUUAGAUACCCU
rnacentral:rRNA from 1 species